AUGGAGACGUGGAGGGGGAGGCAGAUGCACAGCCACUCGUACAGGGUGCCGGAGCCGUUCCGCGGCGAGGUGGUGGUGGCGGUCGGGUGCGGGGAGAGCGGCAAAGACAUCGCCAUGGAGAUCCGCGGCGUGGCCAAGGAGGUGUACCUCGUCGCCGGGUCCACGGAGGCGGUCACCCCAGGCCUGUCCAAGGUGCUGGCCAAGCACAGCGCCGACCUCCAUCUCCGACUUGAGGUGGAGCGUCUGUGCGAGGACGGGCGGGUGGCGUUCACGGACGGCGGCGGCGCCGGCUCCAGCUCCAGCGUCGCCGCCGACACCGUCAUCUACUGCACGGGGUACAGCUACUCGUUCCCGUUCCUGGACACGGGCGGAGCCGUCGCCGUGGACGACAACCGCGUGGGCCCGCUGUUCGAGCACGUGUUCCCGCCGUCGCUGGCGCCGUCGCUCUCCUUCGUCGGCGUGCCGAGGAAGAUCUUCGAAGCCCAGGCCCGGUGGGUGGCGCAGGUGCUGUCCGGCAGGCGGGCGCUGCCGGCGGAGGAGGAGAUGCUCCGGUCCGUGGAGGAGUUCUACCGCGCCAGGGAGGCCGCCGGCGUGCCCCGCAAGUACACCCACGAGAUCGGCAGGCGGGAGAUCACGUACAUGGACGAUUUCGGGGAGAAGUACUGCGACUUCCCUCGCGUGGAGGGGUGGAAGUACGAGCUGCUGGGGUCGUCCGCGGGGCUAUGGAGGAGUGGCAUCUCUCUUGUGUGCAAAGCUCGCCGCCUAGUUGCUGCAGCUACACAGACGGCCGUCCCUGCCCAACUGGUCUCCAUCAACAAGCACAAUAAUUACAAAAUCACUAUUCAGGAAGUAUUCUUUGUAAAGACCACUCCUACAUCCAGGAUGGGACAAGUGUCGCACUGCAUGUGCGAAGGGAGUUUUUCCUUUUUCCGGAGAUGUGUUUUAUUCAAAACGUUUUAUCUCUCAAAUUGUACGUCCAAAUAUCGAACAUUUUUCACCGUUGGAUAUUCGCGUCGAGAUCUCCAAAACAAGAUUCGUGUUGAUAGGUUUCGAUGGAUUUUUUUAUGA
rnacentral:rRNA from 1 species